GGCGUAAAGAGUGGUUUAAGAAUUUUUCCCUAUGAACUAAAGUUAAGACCCCAUUAAGCUGUUAUACGCCCUCAUGGGUGGAAUCACCAACAACGAAAGUAACUUUACAGCACCAGAA
rnacentral:rRNA from 1 species